UACAGAGGUCUCAAGCGUUGUUCGGAUUCAUUGGGCGUAAAGGGUGCGUAGGCGGCGCGGUAAGUCGGGUGUGAAAUCUCGGGGCUUAACUCCGAAACUGCAUUCGAUACUGCCGUGCUUGAGGACUGGAGAGGAGACUGGAAUUUACGGUGUAGCGGUGAAAUGCGUAGAUAUCGUAAGGAAGACCAGUGGCGAAGGCGGGUCUCUGGACAGUUCCUGACGCUGAGGCUCGAAGGCCAGGGGAGCAAACGGG
rnacentral:rRNA from 1 species